UACAGAGGGUGCAAGCGUUAAUCGGAUUUACUGGGCGUAAAGCGCGCGUAGGUGGUUCAGUAAGUUGGAUGUGAAAUCCCCGGGCUCAACCUGGGAGCUGCAUCCAAAACUGCUGAGCUAGAGUACGGUAGAGGGUGGUGGAAUUUCCUGUGUAGCGGUGAAAUGCGUAGAUAUAGGAAGGAACACCAGUGGCGAAGGCGACCACCUGGACUGAUACUGACACUGAGGUGCGAAAGCGUGGGGAGCAAACAGG
rnacentral:rRNA from 1 species